GAUGAACGCUGGCGGCGUGCCUAAUACAUGCAAGUCGAGCGAACAGACGAGGAGCUUGCUCCUCUGAUGUUAGCGGCGGACGGGUGAGUAACACGUGGAUAACCUACCUAUAAGACUGGGAUAACUUCGGGAAACCGGAGCUAAUACCGGAUAACAUGUUGAACCGCAUGGUUCAACAGUGAAAGACGGUCUUGCUGUCACUUAUAGAUGGAUCCGCGCCGCAUUAGCUAGUUGGUAAGGUAACGGCUUACCAAGGCAACGAUGCGUAGCCGACCUGAGAGGGUGAUCGGCCACACGGGAACUGAGACACGGUCCAGACUCCUACGGGAGGCAGCAGUAGGGAAUCGUCCGCAAUGGGCGAAAGCCUGACGGAGCAACGCCGCGUGAGUGAAGAAGGUCUUCGGAUCGUAAAACUCUGUUAUUAGGGAAGAACAAAUGUGUAAGUAACUAUGCACGUCUUGACGGUACCUAAUCAGAAAGCCACGGCUAACUACGUG
rnacentral:rRNA from 1 species